rnacentral:rRNA from 1 species
GAUGAACGCUUUCUUCUUUCCUAAUACAUGCAAGUCGAGCGAAUGGACGAGAAGCUUGCUUCUCUGAUGUUAGCGGCGGACGGGUGAGUAACACGUGGAUAACCUACCUAUAAGACUGGGAUAACUUCGGGAAACCGGAGCUAAUACCGGAUAAUAUUUUGAACCGCAUGGUUCAAAAGUGAAAGACGGUCUUGCUGUCACUUAUAGAUGGAUCCGCGCUGCAUUAGCUAGUUGGUAAGGUAACGGCUUACCAAGGCAACGAUGCAUAGCCGACCUGAGAGGGUGAUCGGCCACAAUGGAACUGAAACACGGUCCAGACUCCUACGGGAGGCAGCAGUAGGGAAUCUUCCGCAAUGGGCGAAAGCCUGACGGAGCAACGCCGCGUGAGUGAUGAAGGUCUUCGGAUCGUAAAACUCUGUUAUUAGGGAAGAACAUAUGUGUAAGUAACUGUGCACAUCUUGACGGUACCUAAUCAGAAAGCCACGGCUAACUACGUG